UUAAGGAAAAGUAGGGUAAGAUGUGAAUAAGGGUUCAUUCCCCAGUUGACACAUUCACGAUCUCCCUUUCCCACAGCACGACCUUCACACACGAACUUGCAACCACCGACUCUGACCUCCACCUCCGUAUCAUCUCCUCUGUCCUUUCUGUACCAUCCAGCAGACAGUCCCAAAUCAAGUAUUUUAGGUAUUGUAGGUGCUGGUAAACCCUAAGCGUUACAGUUUUUGGACCUCUGUUCGUUGCUGCUCUUAUAUUGGGAAUAACGAUGAUUACAAAGAGACAAGUGGGAUUCCUCAUGAGGUUUGUGUUUUAUAUGUUUGUGUUUGUGAGUCUUUUACUUUUGGAAUGGAUUUUGGAUCGAUGUUUAGUUAUUGAAUUAGAUCAGCAUCACCCUAUAGUCUAGAUGUGAUUUUUUGGCUUCACGAAGUCCUGAUGUGUUUGAUUCUUGGUUUAUUAGCUUUUUCAAAUUAUGAUUUUGGGAUUAGUUUGAUUGGAUGGCCAUGAACUAUAAAGGAUGAUUGAAUUGGUUCACUUCUGCCAAUGCACUUUUAUGUUCAUAAUGGUUUCCUUGGUCAUUGAAAUCGAGAGCCAGAGUCACCGUGAACGAAUUCAAGAGCCAAAUAAGUCCAGAAAAACUUCUCUCUUUCAAGUGGAAAGGUAUGUGUGGCUUACCUGUUGAUAACAAGUCUUGAUUUUCUUGGUAUAGAAUAGGAAUACUUAUCAGAGAUGCAUCAGUAUAUCUUGUUAUUUAGUAUGUCAUCAAGAUCAACUUAUUUGUUCUUCAAAAUAUAUUAUGAAGCUAAUGUCCACUUACAUUCUCUUAGCAUCUCUUGAGUUCUAUGCUUUUUGUAAUGGUUUAGGAGUUGUGUGAUGGUAUUGGAGGAGUAGCUACUGUUUAGUUUGAAAGUAUACUUGAUGAUAAGAUCCCUUAAGGUUAACCCUGCGAUGUGGUAUUUCUCAAGUAUAAAUAAUGUAUCUUGCUAAUGUAUUAUUUCAUUUGUAACCUUCUGUGUAUAAUUUUUAUCUAUAUCUACUUAAAAUGUUGUGAACUCCUUUAUGUUUUUAACUUGUUAUAGGCUGGUGGUAGUGUGGUUUCAAAUAGACAACUAUAGGGUGGCCUUGAAGUUUCUAGGGUCUUUGACGAAAGCCAAUUUAAAGAGAUUAUUUUCUCUUCUUUUAGAUGCCUUUGCCUUGCUAUUGGCAAUAAACCUUAUUGAUAACAUAAGUGCAAGUGAAAAUGAAACAUUUUCGCCUUGAGGUUUGCAAUGCAUAUUUGCCUCUUUUGAGUAUCUCUUGUCUAUUGAAACUUAUUCGUGUGCAUUUUCACUUAGUAUUAUAUUUGAGUUCUUGGUGUUCAUUAGGUUCUCAAUCCUGUCAUUCACCAUGCUACAGAGCGUGCCAACAUAUCUAAUUUUAUGGUGUUCUUUACCUAUUUAAGACUUCAAGAACUUGGACUUGUCAGUGCUUCAACAUUGCCGAAGUGGAGAUACAACAGGGGAAUGAUAUCUCUCCUGCGUUUGUCUAUGAUACAAGGCUUUUCAAGCUUCGAUUAGAACGAAAGACUAGUCUCUUAAAUGAAGAAUUAAAUGAAUUGUAAUCAAAAGUGGUAAAUUAUUCAGACCAUAUUUAUGUCCAAAUAAUUGUGUGUCGAAUAGAUUUGUUACUUGGUUUUUGAUACUUUCUUGUAACUUACCGCUAGCACCUAUACUUAGUCCACCUAAUUUUUUGCAUUCCAAAUGUUUAUGUUGAUGAGAUAGCUAGAAGUUCCUGUCCCUAUGCAAGUAGAUAUCUUGACAAAUGAGGUUGAGAUCGACGUAAUGAAGAGCAGAAUCAUUCACUGUUUGGGCGAUGGUGAUAUGCAUCGGGAACUCGGGAAACAGAUGAGGAAGAACAUGAAGAUGAGAAUGUAGAUUAUGUAUUAGGAGCUGUUGUUUUUCUAUAUGCCACAUUAGUAUCAUUUUCGUCUUAGUUAAAGAAUACUUUGAAGCUGGAUAAGAGUUGAUUAAUGCUACAUUGUUAUUCUUUUA